rnacentral:rRNA from 1 species
GACGAACGCUGGCGGCGUGCUUAACACAUGCAAGUCGAACGGAAAGGCCCUGCUUUUGUGGGGUGCUCGAGUGGCGAACGGGUGAGUAACACGUGAGUAACCUGCCCUUGACUUUGGGAUAACUUCAGGAAACUGGGGCUAAUACCGGAUAGGAGCUCCUGCUGCAUGGUGGGGGUUGGAAAUUUUCGGCGGUUGGGGAUGGACUCGCGGCUUAUCAGCUUGUUGGUGGGGUAGUGGCUUACCAAGGCUUUGACGGGUAGCCGGCCUGAGAGGGUGACCGGCCACAUUGGGACUGAGAUACGGCCCAGACUCCAACGGGAGGCAGCAGUGGGGAAUAUUGCACAAUGGGCGGGAGCCUGAUGCAGCAACGCAGCGUGCGGGAUGACGGCCUUCGGGUUGUAAACCGCUUUCGCCUGUGACGAAGCGUGAGUGACGGUAAUGGGUAAAGAAGCACCGGCUAACUACGUG